CGCACAUUGCGCUCGCCAGCAUUCUGGCGAGCAUGCCUGUUCGAGCGUCAUUUCAACCCUCAAGCACCGCUUGGUUUUGGGGCCCCACGGCACACGUGGGCCCUUAAAGGUAGUGGCGGACCCUCCCGGAGCCUCCUUUGCGUAGUAACUAACGUCUCGCACUGGGAUCCGGAGGGACUCUUGCCGUAAAACCCCCCAAUUCUUUACAGGUUGACCUCGGAUCAGGUAGGAAUACCCGCUGAACUUAA
rnacentral:misc_RNA from 1 species